UACGGAGGGUGCAAGCGUUAUCCGGAUUCACUGGGUUUAAAGGGUGCGUAGGAGGGCAGGUAAGUCAGUGGUGAAAUCCCACGGCUUACCCGUGGAACUGCCUGGCAGACUGCGGUGCUAGAGGUUGGUAGGGGAGAGCGGAACUCUUGGUGGAGCGGUGAAAUGCGUAGAUAUCAAGAGGAACACCGGUGGCGAAGGCGGCUCUCUGGAACAAUCCUGACGCUGAGGUGCGAAAGCUAGGGGAGCAAACGGG
rnacentral:rRNA from 1 species